rnacentral:rRNA from 1 species
GUGGGGAAUAUUGGACAAUGGGCGAAAGCCUGAUCCAGCCAUGCCGCGUGUGUGAAGAAGGUCUUCGGAUUGUAAAGCACUUUAAGUUGGGAGGAAGGGCAGUAAGUUAAUACCUUGCUGUUUUGACGUUACCAACAGAAUAAGCACCGGCUAACUUCGUGCCAGCAGCCGCGGUAAUACGAAGGGUGCAAGCGUUAAUCGGAAUUACUGGGCGUAAAGCGCGCGUAGGUGGUUCAGCAAGUUGAAGGUGAAAUCCCCGGGCUCAACCUGGGAACUGCCUCCAAAACUACUGAGCUAGAGUACGGUAGAGGGUAGUGGAAUUUCCUGUGUAGCGGUGAAAUGCGUAGAUAUAGGAAGGAACACCAGUGGCGAAGGCGACUACCUGGACUGAUACUGACACUGAGGUGCGAAAGCGUGGGGAGCAAACAGGAUUAGAAACCCGGGUAGUCC